rnacentral:lncRNA from 1 species
AUAACACCUCAUGUCAAUUUAUCUAGAAUAUUGACAAUAGUGUACAUAACUGAAUCGGAAAACAUUAAAUUUUCAUUACAUAAAGAUCAAACACAUGAAUAGGAUUACAAAAUCCAAGAAGUGAAUACAAAUUUGAGCCAACAACUAAACAUAAUUAAUCUGAAUCUUAUAAAAGAUAUAAGAUAAAUAUAACAUCGGCUCCAAAUCGUACUCCACGUAUCUGGGUCUUCAUGCUUGCUGACCACGACAUCGCGAUCAACAUGGUUAUCUGAAAUCAAAUAAGUGGGGGAUGAGACAGUCACUUCGUCUCAGUGGAUUCCUACUACCCAGUUACUAUUGGUGUUUACACCGAGGGCAACUGAUG